CAUGACCUGAGCCGAAGUCGGACACUUAACCGACUGAGCCACCCAGGCGCCCCUGGAAAAGUAGUUUUUAAAUAGAGUCCUCACAGACCAGUUUACUCCUUACGAUACUUGCCCUGUAAGAGAAGGUGUCCACCAGAGCAGGCUACUCCCUCACCAGCUGUUUGUUAAGCCUGUCCCUGAGGGGAGACUGGACCCGCUCUUGCCUGAAGGCGGGGUUCCUGAAAUUCCUGGAUUACCGAUUACCGGGGGGGCUUGACAUUUGGUAUGCAUAGUCAGACCAGACUUCCACAGUCACUUUUACAUGAAGUCGGAUAUUCCAUGUCGGGUUUUUAUUUUUGUCAGUGACAGGUGUUGUUACUUACUGUCAGAAUCAAACAAUAAGGGCUUGCGUUUUGGGCUUUUCGGAGCACGUAAGAGUGUGGGCUCUAGCAACAAAUGUUCAAAUUUAGGUCACACAGAGCCGUUAUGGUUAAAAAAAAAAAAAAGUUUGUAUUUACUCUGGAAUUUAUCUGCAUACCUGUUUUUUUGUUUUUGAAAUGUGAUUUUUCUUUUUUCUGUCCAUAAAGUCUGUUAACUCAUUUUGAGAAGGCAUGAAGGCCAAACCACUUGGAAUUGCUUGCUGCAUGAUGUCUAAGAUUCCCUUUAUUUAUCUUUGUGACAGACACAUUUGUAAUAACACUAAAUGACUCACGAGGUCAAGCCUUUUAAGGAUGUUUGAGGUCUUACUUUUUAAGGUGGUUGUUAUAGUAAACAGUUUUUUAAAAAAUCUUUGUUUUUUUAUCAUCACAAAAUUAAAUAAAUACAGAAGAGUAAAAAGGGAGACGCGUAGCUCCCUUUCUGCCUACCCCAAUCCUGUUUCCUUACACUUCCUAAACACUGUUAAUGAUUCACUGUGUCCUCUCAGGGUUUUCUGUGUUAGUACAGUCAUUUUUUU